ACAUGGUGCAGUGGUGGUAGACGUGGAGGAAGCUGACCUGGGUGACCUUCUUCCUCAGGAUGAAAAAGGCUGUAUCCAAGAAUUCCACUCCUUUGGAGAUGUAGUACCACCAAAGAGCCGAGGCUAUCUAAAGACAUAAAAACGGAGGAGAAGAGUGAAUUACCGCUGCGCACUCUGGUGGACCUUGGACACCGACACCACUGUUGCAGUGCGCAGCAGAGAUCACUUAUUCAAGACUGGAUAGGACGACAAUGAACUGAUCUCGUGGCACUGACCUCUUUGGCGAUGUAGAAGUUGAGCACCACCAUGCUGAAGUUGUAGACUAUGAGAGUCCUCCUCAGCGUGUAGGGCUGGCGGUCCUGCAUGUAUCUAGGCCCCGCCCACAGGAAGAGCAGGUACAGGCAGCUGAUGGCCAGUGUGGGGCAGGGAGAUGACAUCAUCGGCCAAUUCUCCACCCUCUUGUCUGGAGGAAGAAAAGAAAAAAACAGAUAUUAAACUGUAACCAGCCUGCUUCACGACGGCGGCCCACUGCUACAGGACAUGUGCGACGGUGAAGAUCUUACCUGCUAUACUGUCAUUUUAAGACCGCGAUCACGCCAUGACCCACCUCCACCCCUGAUCCCCCUCAACUCCGGAUGCCUGGUCAUGCCCCAUCAAACCGUCCAACCGGAGGCCCUCCAUGAGACGUCCCAACUUCCUGCCCCAUUCCUCAUCACCAGCACCAGUGCCGU